ensembl:lncRNA
CUCCCUGGUGGCCAUCCAGCCUCUAUGACUCUCACAGGCUACCAUAGAUUCAUUUUGCUUUCAUUUGGUAUUUAAGGGAUUCAAUAAUAUAUAGUCUUUGUUAGGGCUGGAGAGAUGGCUCAGGAGUUGGGAGCACUGGCUGCUCUUCCAGUAGGUCCUGAGUUCAAUUCCCAGCAACCACAUGGUGACUCACAUCGAUCUGUAAUAAUAUAUAGUUUUUGUGCCUAGCCUCCUUUGCACAAUAAAUAGUAUGUGAUUUAUCCAAGUUGUUGCAUCAAACAGUAUCUUGUUCUUUCUAGUUGCAGUGAACAGAUAGAACUUCUUUAUUAAGCUGCCUGUGGUUGAACAUUUGGAUUCUUUCUGCCUUGUGGUAACUGCAUAUAGUAUCACCGUGAAUGUUUUUCCUCUGUGCCUUUGAUAAACAUGCACAAUUUACAUUUACCUUGGGGGUCAAGUACUAGUCCACAUGUGCUGCACUGCUCAAGACAGUGAAAACACAGGUAUACCACUGAACAUCUAACAUGAUCUCCACACAAUGUCCUCUGUAGCAGUGCUUGGUCCAGAGUGUGUUUUCUUUCUUUCUUUCUUUCUUUCUUUUUUUUUUUUUUUUUUUCGAGAUAGGGUUUCUCUGUAUUGCUUUGGAGGUUGUCCUGGCACUCGCUCUGUAGACCAGGCUGGCCUGGAACUCACAGAGAUCCACCUGCCUCUGCCUCCCGAGUGCUGGGAUUAAAGGCGUGCGCCACCAACGCCCGGCUCUGUGUUUUGUUUCUUAGUCAUUCUGGUUGCUGCAUGUUAGACCCUCAGGAUAAUUUGCGUUUUCCUGAUGAGUAAUGAAGGUGGGGCAUCUUUUCCUGUGCUUACUGGCCACCCAGAGUUCUUUGGAAACUGCCUCUACAAGUGUUUUCAGUUUUCUUUGAACGAUCUAUCUUUUUCUUAUUCAUUUCUAGACUGUGUUUACAAAAUCACUUGCAGGCCCUUUUAGUAAUGCACGAUUUUUAAUGGCUUCUCACAAUACAUGACUCUUUUUCUUUGAUAGACAGCAAUUCUUAUUUUUAGUGGUCGACUUUUUCAAUUUUUAUGAUUGUGUUAGUUUGACAAAUACCCAAGGCAAACAACUUAAGGCAGGAAGGAUUUCUUCUUGACUCUCAGUUGUAGAUGGCUGGUUGUUGUUUCUAAGCCUGUGGGAGACCCAUACUGUAGAAGGCACAAUGAUGCAAAGUUCCCAUCUUAAGAGGGCUAUGCAGCUAAUAGGAAAAGUGCCUGCACUGGCAGACUUCAGCCUUCCUCCACUUCCAUCCACGGGACAGCGUCACCCACAUUCAAGAUCUUGCCUCCAGUGCAACUUUCCAUGGAAGGCUCUGCAAAUUGGGGUGUCCCGAUGGAGAACAGUCUCUCCACUGCCAGGGAGCCAAGUGGUAUAUAGAUGUAGGAUUCGGGCUUUUUGUGGAGUAAGGAAAAGAAAGAUGGGCUCAGAGAAGCAGGUCACCCCUCAAACAUGCCCCUGUGCUCUGAUGAGUUUUCCCAUUCCUUCCCACCAAGAGCAGUCAAGCACCAUGCUCAGUUUUCAGAUGGAUCCAGCUGGCCGUGGUCUGCAGCCGCACGUUAAGAAACCAAAUUCUGAAAGUUGAACCAAAUCGAAAAGCAAAACUUGAAUUUGCUGUCGGCCAGAUACUGUGACAAAUGCAUGGAAAGGAAGAGAGGUGUAGGUGCUGUGUCCGGUGUGGAAAGCCAUCGAGAGACUUUAAAGUGCAGGUGAGGACUGCAUUAGUUAUAUUCAGAUGCUGAGCCGUUUUUACCUGGGAAGAGUCUUGAGCAUCAUGGGUGUUGGUAUGCACAAAUAGUCCAAGAACCUAUCUCUCAAUGAAGAGUAAGCUGGAGAGGUCACAGCCACAAAAGCUUUGCAACACUGUGCAAGGACAGAAUCUGAUUGCAAUGGGGCAAGACUUUCUUCUGCUCUCACUUCCCCUUUACCUCACUUACAAGCACCCUAUGCGGAGACUUUCCACAGUAUUUUUGGAACAACGCCGAGAUGAAGCUGGAUUGGAGGCAUAUUUAGCUUGGCUUUAAGGCGAUAUAUUUAGUUGGCUUCCAGUCACCUCUGUACAUAGAUAAUUUAUUGCUAUUCAUAGGAAUUGCUUCUAGAAAUACUCUGUAACUGAAGUGCCAACUCAUGCCACAUCGUGAUACGAAGGCACACAGAUGGAAGUCUACCACUGGGUGCCUGUGCAGUGGAGAAUCUGGCCCUGGAAAUGAGAGGGAAAUGAGGGGCCGUCUAGACUUUCGGUUACAGCAGUGGUAGGUGGUCAGUCUGUGGGGGUUCCUCCCUUAGCAACCACGCACAACAAGUGUAAGCCAGAAUCUCCAUCACCCUGGCUAUCAGUGAGUUAGGAAAUUCUGACUCUUUAGACCACAAACCUAUAGGAGUUUUCUAAAUGGCAUGUCCUGCUGUGGGACACAGGCUUACGCAUCUCAACUAUUUAAACCUAAAAAGAAGUCUGGUAUGACAUAUUAGUGAAAGACUAUACUGCCUUUCUAUUGUUUUUUUUUCUCCUUAAAAUUGCUAUGUGAUAAAGAGACUAGCAAAGAUUAAGUAUUCAAAAUAGUAUUGGGAAAUAUUAUAAUAAUG